GAUGAACGCUGGCGGCGUGCCUAACACAUGCAAGUCGAGCGAUCUGCUUCGGAAGAGAGCGGCGGACGGGUGAGUAACGCGUGGGUAACCUGCCCUGUACACACGGAUAACAUACCGAAAGGUAUGCUAAUACGAGAUAAUAUGCUUUUAUCGCAUGGUAGAAGUAUCAAAGCCCCGGCGGUACAGGAUGGACCCGCGUCUGAUUAGCUAGUUGGUAAGGUAAUGGCUUACCAAGGCGACGAUCAGUAGCCGACCUGAGAGGGUGAUCGGCCACAUUGGAACUGAGACACGGUCCAAACUCCUACGGGAGGCAGCAGUGGGGAAUAUUGCACAAUGGGCGAAAGCCUGAUGCAGCAACGCCGCGUGAGCGAUGAAGGCCUUCGGGUCGUAAAGCUCUGUCCUCAAGGAAGAUAAUGACGGUACUUGUGGAGGAAGCCCCGGCUAACUACGUGCCAGCAGCCGCGGUAA
rnacentral:rRNA from 1 species